AACGAACGCUGGCGGCAUGCCUAACACAUGCAAGUCGAACGAGACCUUCGGGUCUAGUGGCGCACGGGCGCGUAACGCGUGGGAAUCUGCCCUUGGGUUCGGAAUAACAGUUAGAAAUGACUGCUAAUACCGGAUAAUGUCUUCGGACCAAAGAUUUAUCGCCCAGGGAUGAGCCCGCGUAGGAUUAGCUAGUUGGUGAGGUAAAGGCUCACCAAGGCGACGAUCCUUAGCUGGUCUGAGAGGAUGAUCAGCCACACUGGGACUGAGACACGGCCCAGACUCCUACGGGAGGCAGCAGUGGGGAAUAUUGGACAAUGGGCGAAAGCCUGAUCCAGCGAUGCCGCGUGAGUGAUGAAGGCCUUAGGGUUGUAAAGCUCUUUUACCCGGGAUGAUAAUGACAGUACCGGGAGAAUAAGCCCCGGCUAACUCCGUGCCAGCAGCCGCGGUAAU
rnacentral:rRNA from 1 species